GUCGAACGCUGGCGGCGUGCUUAACACAUGCAAGUCGAACGCGCGGCGGUCGGGUGAGUAAUGUAUGGGGACUGCCCGAUCGAGGGGGCUAACUACUGGAAACGGUGGCUCAUACCCCAUACUGUCGGAUACCCCAUAUGGGCUUAGCUAGUAGGUAAGGUAAUGGCUUACCUAGGCGACGAUCCCUAGCUGGUCUGAGAGGAUGAUCAGCCACACUGGGACUGAGACACGGCCCAGACUCCUACGGAGGCAGCAGUGGGGAAGAUUGGACAAUGGGCGCAAGCCUGAGGCAGCCAUGCCGCGUGUAUGAAGAAGGCCCUAGGGUUGUAAAGUACUUUCAGUAGGGAGGCGUUACCGACAGAAGAAGCACUGGCUAACUCCGUGCCAGCAGCCGCGGUAAUUC
rnacentral:rRNA from 1 species